CACUAUUUAAAAAGUAGAAAAAUGCAGUCACAGUUUUGUCUCAGUUUCUCCACCUUUUUCCCUUUUCCGUCUGUUUAGAUUUAGUGGGAACCAAGAUGAGAGGCAUUAAGAAGGGAGAACAGAUGGAGACAACUAGAAAAUCAGGAGAGGACAGGUCCCUUGGGUCUGUGAAGGGUGAGUAUGAAAAGCAGCUCAGGACAGCCAUAUGGCCGCUGGGCUCAGUCACCAGGAAGAACUGUGAUUCCUUUCACCAUCUGCAGCUCAAUUUGCAUUCUAACUCAGCUCCUGGCCUCCUGAGAGGAAAAUGCCCUGUCAUGGGAACAUUAUAGAACAUUCUAGGUGGGGUAAGAUAGGGAGAGGACAGAAUGUUUGCACACACCAGAGCAUUAGAAAACAGACUCCCUCCUAUCUAGAAAGGGAACAGGGGAGGCAGGCACAGCAAGGGAGAAGAAAAACACAGGCCUGGCUUCCAGAAGCUGAUCCACAAACAGUAGGCUCUGUUACCUGUCCUGUUCUGGCUCUGGCCCCCUCCCAGAAACCCAGAGAAACCUCAAUGGAAAAGUCAAGUAAGGAGAUACCUGGCUCAGGGAGUGGAGGAACCAGUACAUUCACUUGGAAUCACGCGUCGAAGGAUCUGUGUUGGACACAGAAGGAAGUAGGUAGGUUUGGUGCUGGGCUGAGCUGGAGGGAGCGGAGGAGCACACACAUGACCCGCAGUGGGGUCCACAGAGGCUGAGGCAGGACAAGUGAAUGGAGCAGUGGCCCCACCAGUACGUUUCCUGAAAUAAAGUCCUGAGGAGGGAA